rnacentral:rRNA from 1 species
AGUGAACGCUGGCGGUAGGCCUAACACAUGCAAGUCGAACGGCAGCACAGUAAGAGCUUGCUCUUACGGGUGGCGAGUGGCGGACGGGUGAGGAAUACAUCGGAAUCUACUUUUUCUUGGGGGAUAACGUAGGGAAACUUACGCUAAUAGCGCAUACGACCUACGGGUGAAAGCAGGGGAUCUUCGGACCUUUCGCGAUUGAAUGAGCCGAUGUCGGAUUAGCUAGUUGGCGGGGUAAAGGCCCACCAAGGCAACGAUCCGUAGCUGGGCUGAGAGGAGGAUCAGCCACACUGGAACUGAGACACGGUCCAGACUCCUACGGGAGGCAGCAGUGGGGAAUAUUGGACAAUGGGCGCAAGCCUGAUCCAGCCAUACCGCGUGAGUGAAGAAGGCCUUCGGGUUGUAAAGCCCUUUUGUUGGGAAAGAAAAGCAGCAGGUUAAUAUCCCGCUGUUCUGACGGUACCCAAAGAAUAAGCACCGGCUAACUUCGUG